GGGUCAGUAGGUUGGUCGUGCCACCGGUACGUACUGGUCUCACUGGUUCCUCCUUCCUGAAGAACCGUAAUGCCAUUAAUUUGGUGUUGCGGGGAAACAGGACUGUUACUUUGAGAAAAUUAGAGUGUUUAAAGCAAGCUAACGCUUGAAUACAUUAGCAUGGAAUAAUGAAAUAGGACGAUCGAUCCUAUUUUGUUGGUUUCUAGGAUUGACGUA
rnacentral:rRNA from 1 species